rnacentral:rRNA from 1 species
UGGGGAAUAUUGCACAAUGGGCGAGAGCCUGAUGCAGCAACGCCGCGUGAGGGACGACGGCCUUCGGGUUGUAAACCUCUUUUAGCAAGGAAGAAGCGAAAGUGACGGUACUUGCAGAAAAAGCGCCGGCUAACUACGUGCCAGCAGCCGCGGUAAUACGUAGGGCGCAAGCGUUAUCCGGAAUUAUUGGGCGUAAAGAGCUCGUAGGCGGUUUGUCGCGUCUGCUGUGAAAACCCGAGGCUCAACCUCGGGCCUGCAGUGGGUACGGGCAGACUAGAGUGCGGUAGGGGAGAUUGGAACUCCUGGUGUAGCGGUGGAAUGCGCAGAUAUCAGGAAGAACACCGACGGCGAAGGCAGAUCUCUGGGCCGUAACUGACGCUGAGGAGCGAAAGGGUGGGGAGCAAACAGGCUUAGAUACCCUGGUAGUCCACCCCGUAAACGUUGGGAACUAGUUGUGGGGUCCAUUCCACGGAUUCCGUGACGCAGCUAACGCAUUAAGUUCCCCGCCUGGGGAGUACGGCCGCAAGGCUAAAACU